GAAUGUAUAACUUAGUGGUUACAGCGUUGAGUUGUUUCCAAGUAGCGCGAGUUCGAAUCACUCUACGUUCA
rnacentral:tRNA from 1 species